rnacentral:rRNA from 1 species
AAGCGUAAUAGCUCACUGGUCGAGUCGGCCUGCGCGGAAGAUGUAACGGGGCUAAACCAUGCACCGAAGCUGCGGCAGCGAACGUAUCACUUAAAGCGAUUCAGCGGGUUACGAUUGACGGAGCGAAGCGACGUCAAAGCGUAUACAAAGUCGAGUCGGUUUAAGGAUACGUUCGUUGGGUAGGGGAGCGUUCUGUAAGCCUGUGAAGGUGGCCUGUGAGGGUUGCUGGAGGUAUCAGAAGUGCGAAUGC